rnacentral:tRNA from 1 species
GGCGAGGUAGCUCAGCUGGUUAGAGCACACGACUCAUAAAUCGUGGGGUCGGGGGUUCGAGUCCCCCCCUCGCCACCA